CACAAACAGUCCUGGAGGUUCCUGCAGAGCAUUGGUGACAACUUCUUGACACAGGUGGUGGAGGAGCCAASAAGGAGAGGGGUGCUGCUGGACCUCGUACUAACAAACAAAGAAGGACUGGUGGAAGAUGUGAAGGUCGGGGGCAGCCUUGGCUGCAGUGACCAUGAGAUGGUGGAGUUCAGGAUCCUGCGAGGAGGCAGCAGGGCACCAAGUAGGAUCGCAACCCUGGACUUCAGGAGAGCAAACUUUGGCCUCUUCAGGGACCUACUUGGAGGAAUCCCAUGGGUUAGAGCCCUAGAAGGAAGGGGCGUUCAAGAGAGCUGGUUAAUAUUCGAACAUCACCUCCUCCAGGCUCAAGAGCGGUGCAUCCCUAUGAGUAGGAAGUCRAGCAAAGGAGGCAGGAGACCUGCAUGGAUGAGCAAGGAGCUCCUGGCAAAACUCAACCAGAAGAAGGAAGUAUACAGAAAGUGGAAAGGGGGACAGGCCACUUGGGAGGAUUAUAGAAACAUUGUCAGAGUAUGCAGGGAUGUGACAAGGAAGGCUAAGGCCCGUUUGGAAUUAAAUCUGGCWAGAGAUGUCAAGGACAACAAGAAGGGCUUCUUCAAAUACAUCAGUAGCAAGAGGAAGACUAGGGAAAAUGUGGGCCCUUUGCUGAAUGGGGUGGGUGCCCUGGUGACGAAGGAUGCAGAGAAGGCAGAGUUACUGAAUGCCUUCUUUGCUUCAGUCUUUACUGSUCAGGCCAGCCCUCAGGAACCCCAGAUCCUGGAGGCAAGAGAGAAAGUCUGGAGAAAGGAAGACUUUCCCUUGGUGGAGGAGGAGUGGGUUAGAGAUCAUUUAAGCAAACUUGACACCCACAAAUCCAUGGGCCCUGAUGGGAUGCACCCACGAGUGCUGAGGGAGCUAGCAGACAUCAUUGCUAGGUCACUCUCCAUCGUCUUUGAAAGGUCAUGGAGAACAGGAGAGGUGCCUGAAGACUGGAAGAAAGCCAAUGUCACCCCAGUCUUCAAAAAGGGCAAGAAGGAGGACCCAGGGAACUACAGGCCAGUCAGCCUCACCUCCAUCCCUGGAAAGGUGAUGGAGCAGCUCAUCCUGGAGGCCAUCUCCAAGCAUGUGGAGGAAAAGAAGGUGAUCAGGAGUAGUCAGC
ensembl:lncRNA